GACGAACGCUGGCGGCGUGCCUAAUACAUGCCAGUUGAGCGCUGAAGGUUGGUACUUGUACCGACUGGAUGAGCAGCGAACGGGUGAGUAACGCGUGGGGAAUCUGCCUUUGAGCGGGGGACAACAUUUGGAAACGAAUGCUAAUACCGCAUAAAAACUUUAAACACAAGUUUUAAGAUUGAAAGAUGCAAUUGCAUCACUCAAAGAUGAUCUCGCGUUGUAUUAGCUAGGUGGCGAGGUAAAGGCUCACCAAGGCGAAGAUACCGAGCCGACCUGAGAGGGUGGUCGGCCACAUUGGGACUGAGACCAGGCCCAAAACUCCACGGGGAGGCACAAUAGGGAAACUUCGGGAAAUGGCGGAAGUCCUGCCGGGGCACGCCGCGGUGGUGGAGAAGGUUUUCGGGUCGUAAAACUCCGGUUGUAAGGGAGAACGUUGGUGGGAAGGGAAAGCUCAUCAAGUGACGGUAACUACCCAGAAAGGGACGGCUAACUACGUG
rnacentral:rRNA from 1 species